AUUGAACGCUGGCGGCAUGCUUUACACAUGCAAGUCGAACGGUAACAGGCCUUCGGGUGCUGACGAGUGGCGAACGGGUGAGUAAUGCAUCGGAACGUACCCAGAGGUGGGGGAUAACGCAGCGAAAGCUGUGCUAAUACCGCAUGUGAUCUGAGGAUGAAAGCGGGGGACCGAGCAGCAAUGUUUGGCCUCGCGCCUUUGGAGCGGCCGAUGUCGGAUUAGCUAGUUGGUGGGGUAAAGGCCUACCAAGGCGACGAUCCGUAGCUGGUCUGAGAGGACGACCAGCCACACUGGGACUGAGACACGGCCCAGACUCCUACGGGAGGCAGCAGUGGGGAAUUUUGGACAAUGGGCGCAAGCCUGAUCCAGCAAUGCCGCGUGCGGGAAGAAGGCCUUCGGGUUGUAAACCGCUUUUGGCAGGAACGAAACGGUGUCCGCUAAUACCGGGCGCUAAUGACGGUACCUGCAGAAUAAGCACCGGCUAACCACGUG
rnacentral:rRNA from 1 species